GAAAGAUGGAAGUAGCUGUGGCUUUUGUCAGCGAGAUAAUUAUCUGACUUGCUAUCAUUCCUCCAAAGUUUUUUCCCAUAUACUUACAGAUUUGUUUCAUCCUGUUUGGAAAUUAAGAGGCACCAGAGUUAUAAUUGAAAGGAGAGAAAACACAGACAUAGCAACCAUGAAUGGCAAACAAGACAAGAAGCAAGCAACAAGAAAAAAACAUAA